UUUUUCAUAAUAAAUAUUCAUCCACUACAUUUACAUAUAUACACUAUAUUUAAAUAUAUUUAUAAUUUGCAUAGUAAUUUUUCUAAUAAUAUUAUAAACCACUAGAAAUCAUGCUUCAAUGAAAAAGGGGUAUGAUAAGGGCUAUUGUUUGUAAGACAUAAUUCAUAAAUGAUAAAUUAUGAUAUUUAAGAGAAUUAUGCAUUGGAAACAUCUUGAAGAUAAUAUUUGGUGGAUUUAAAAAUUUUUGAUUUUGAAUUCAAUAGACCAAAAAUUGGCCUUAUCAUAGCUUUCCCAAGAUAAAACUGUACAUAAUAAAUAUUGGUUACAUAGGAACAAACAUUGCAAUUUGGCACUGAGAAAAUGAAGCACAGUAUAUAUAUAUAUAUAUUCACAACAAUUUAGGGGGAUACAUAUCAUGUCAGCUAAUGUUCUGUUCUAUCAAGUCUUAACUUUGUAUAAAUAAAACAGAAUCAUUUUUAUGGAUUUGAUUUAAAAAUAAAAAACAUUUGUAAAUGUCAUUUAUAUUCACUCCCCUCUAAAUGCCAAACAAAUGUUUUGACCCACAGAUGCACAGAUCUGAAAACCUUAUACUCCCUUCUAUUGCAUGCAGGGCAAAAUAAAUUGAUAUGUGAGGAGAAGAUAGAUGUAACUAAUUUGAAACAAAACUGUCUGCCUAGCAUACUCCCGGUAUCUUGAUAAUUAUAAAAAUCAAAAACUGCAUUUUUGGCAGAUUUAUUGUCUAUUAUUAACAAACCUUUACUAUUUCUUUUGACAACAAUACAGUGACUCCUUCAUUGGCUAUGACACUAAUGACAAAGUUGUCCUACACCAGAGAAUGCUAGCUAGACUAUCAAUGGUAAUUAAAGUAAUCAUAAUUUACAGACAAAUUGUAAAAAUUAUGCAAUUAUCAGUGAAAAAGCACAAAAAUAAUCAACCCAGUUCACUUAAUUAUACAAUAAUUCAGUCUAACAGUUCUAUUGAACAUGGCAGAUAUUACAUCAUCAACCAUAAAAAUUAUAAUUAUAGAAAUAAACAAUCAAAUGAAACCAAUGUCAGAAAUUAUAAAAAAAAUAUCAUCUAAAAUUAACAGGUACAAAAUGAGGAUUCAUAUCAACUGAGUUUUUACAAAUCAACAACAAAAUUAAUUAAAUCGUAUGGAAGGUUAAACAAUCUUGUCUAGUACAUCAAAGCUUAAUAAACAACCAUGUUUAAUCAUAUCACAGUUAAGAAAUAAAUGAGUGGAAAUAAACAAACGAAAACAACAACCUGAAUCAACUUCCUGGACGGAAUCAGCUUAUAUAUUAAAUCUCAUUAAUUACAAUGAACUCUGUAACCUAUUCAAACUACUUUUUUCAAAGACAUAAUUUUAUACUUUCUUUUUAUAGAUUCUUGAUUAACAUUGAUUUUUCAUAUCAUUGUCUGUAGUACUAGUGAACGAACAUUUAGGUAAGAUUUUAUCUUGUUUAAUGUGCUUAAAUCUGCUGUGCUGUUUAAAAAUGCCAAUGUUCUAUAACUAAUUGUUAUUUCUAAAUACGUUUUACAGUUGGCAAGUAACUAAUCAAGGGAUAUCCCUUUUUGUCACCACCACAAGGGUCAGAUGUUUUUUCAAGGAUGACCAAAUACCAUUAAAACUUAUGAAAAUGAUUCUACAUGCACAUGUAUACCUUAUCCCUUGCUUAGAGGACUCUGUAUCCUUAGCUUAGCCAAUAGAUGAGAAAGGGAACCAACAAAAGACAACAGUGCUAUAUUAGUCCACCUGGUUUCCAUGUGUUUUACAAUAACAAUGGUCAAUUUGUGGUUUGUAAGAAGUAUAUCAAUAAGAAACUAUAUUCAAACUUUAUUAAUUAGACAAAGCUAGUCAACAGGAGUAUGGGGGAGAUAUUGGCAUUUCAAAAUUCCACAAUAUGGCAAUUUUUAGGCUCUUAACUCAGAGAAACAUAUAGACAUCAAAAGUGUUUUUAACAUAGUGGUUUGUAUGAACCCCAUCUUCUUGGCUAUGGCCAUAAUGGGUAUGAUUGUAGAUGAUUUCUCACUGAUGUCAUACAGUGACAGGUCAAUGAUUUUCAAAAAGGGGAGGGGAAGGGGGUGUAAUAAAAAAAAGAUAAAUGUACUAAAACCAUUAAAAAAAAUUGACGUCUAAUAAAAAAACUUUUUAAAGAAAUGAAUUAGAGUCCAUUAAAAAACAAAUACAAGUAAAAUAAAUAUUCUAGCAUAUCUACAUUUUAUUUCCAUAACAAAAGUAUACUAUGUGAAUAAUUAGAACUAUGAAUGAAACCAUUAUUUUUUUUAUAUUUAAAUGCAGUCAAUAAAUAACAAACAAAAAAGCAUAAAAAUAUAAAAACAUGGCAUUAGCAAAUGCAACAAACAGUAAACUGACAAAUCAUCAGAAAUAUAAUUUCAAUCAAUUAUUGAUUCAUUUUUCCAUUUCAAUUUAUUGCUUGACAGUUAACGAAAUGUACAACAAACAUCAGUGAUAGGCGAUAUGCAUUUGUUUAUCCUACAAAGACCACUGAAUAAUUGAUCAUUUUAAUUGUGAAAACCGAUCUCCGUAUCAAAAUCGUCAAUAUUUAACAAAGGACAUGGCUUUCAAUAAGUCCUGUAUGAAAAAUGUUUCUGAUGGAUUUUAAACUGUAUCAAAUAUCCCUUUUACAUAAAAUAAAACCAGUUUUAUAAAUAUUUCAAAACUUUGCAAAAUAUCAUAUUUUUAAUCUUUUUCUUUGAAAUUUGAAAAAAAAUAAUAACCAACUUAAAUUCAAAAGCAGAACUGAAUAAGACAGAAGCACUAAAGUAGUUUCCACAAAAAAUAAUUGUUUUUUCGAAAAUGUUUAAAGGUCAAAUAAAUAAAUAAAUAGAAAUAUAAUGAGAUUCUACUGUAUAUAGUUUAAAUUAUAGUUCAAUUGUAACUCAUGUAAAUGCAUGCAACUACUACAACCAAAGAUCAGUGUUCAUGGACGGAUGAACGGGAAAAAUCUCCAUAGAAACAAGUCAAGAUACCAGAUACCAGAUCAUAGAAAUCAAGAAUAUGAUUAAUCAUUUAUCGAUCCCUUUUUUAAAAGGUAAACACCAUAACAAAAUUAAGGUGGAGAAUUUUGCAUAUUUUCAAUAAAAC
rnacentral:lncRNA from 1 species